AGACCCUUUGAAGCUUUAUAGGGAUAAAACUCAGCUUUAAAUCAACAAACAAUGAAAUCCAUCUUGUUGCUUCUCCGCUUUUUAAAUUGCUAAAGCCUUACAAGAUUUACAACAUCAAGACCACUGUUUAAUUGGGGCGAUAACCUUAUCCACAGCCACCUAAGGUGAACAAAGCGAUACAAGGAUCCUAAAUACUAAUUUGACCAACUAAUAAGUGCAAAGAUACAUGUUUUGCUUAAUGGCCCAACAAGUCCUUCCCAGUACUUAAAUGCUAUCUUAAUGAGCUUUAAAUUAAUUUACCAGAGUGAAGCUACUCUACGGAUAACAGGCUUAAUUUCCGCAAUAUCCAAGGUCACAUUAUCAAGAAUAAAGCACCUCGAUGUCGGCUUAUCUCAACCAAGGUAAGUAGCCCAAAUAUUGGUGGGAGUGCUCAUCCCGUAAAAAGGUACGUGAGCUGG
rnacentral:rRNA from 1 species